rnacentral:misc_RNA from 1 species
AAAGUCGUAACAAGGUUUCCGUAGGUGAACCUGCGGAAGGAUCAUUAGCGAGAGCCUGCCGCGGACGCAUGUUCGUUGGCAAGCGCGCCAUCCUUGUGUUGUGUAUGUGGUGUUGCGUGCGCACGGUGCCAGCGUGCAGUGUGCACACGCGCGCAUUUUUCACCCUUAUUCUGUAUUUCUAAUCACCUGCCCGUACAUGGGCACCAACAACCGAAAACUGCCAGCAAUGGAUCACUCGGUUCUC